GAUGAACGCUGGCGGCGCGCUUAACACAUGCAAGUCGAACGGAAAGGCCAGUGCUUGCACUGGUACUCGAGUGGCGAACGGGUGAGUAACACGUGGGUGAUCUGCCCUGCACUUCGGGAUAAGCCUGGGAAACUGGGUCUAAUACCGGAUAGGACAAUGGUUUGGAUGCCGUUGUGGAAAGUUUUUUCGGUGUGGGAAUGAGCUCGCGGCCUAUCAGCUUGUUGGUGGGGUAAUGGCCUACCAAGGCGUCGACGGGUAGCCGGCCUGAGAGGGUGUACGGCCACAUUGGGACUGAGAUACGGCCCAGACUCCUACGGGAGGCAGCAGUGGGGAAUAUUGCACAAUGGGCGCAAGCCUGAUGCAGCGACGCCGCGUGGGGGAUGACGGCCUUCGGGUUGUAAACUCCUUUCGCUAGGGACGAAGCGUAUUUGUGACGGUACCUGGAGAAGAAGCACCGGCUAACUACGUG
rnacentral:rRNA from 1 species